UACGUAGGGUGCGAGCGUUGUCCGGAAUUAUUGGGCGUAAAGAGCUCGUAGGCGGUGUGUCGCGUCGGUCGUGAAAACUUGGGGCUUAACCCUGAGCUUGCGGUCGAUACGGGCAUCACUGGAGUUCGGCAGGGGAGACUGGAAUUCCUGGUGUAGCGGUGAAAUGCGCAGAUAUCAGGAGGAACACCGGUGGCGAAGGCAGGUCUCUGGGCCGAUACUGACGCUGAGGAGCGAAAGCGUGGGGAGCGAACAGG
rnacentral:rRNA from 1 species